AUGUGUUGUAGGACAGCUGCAUUUGAAGUGUACAUUUAACCUACAUAGCAGUCAAAACAAACUGAAAUCUAUUAGCAUACACAUGUGUGCAAAUGAUCUUCUCAAAAAUGAAUCAAAUCCAUGGAAAGAAAAUUAUCGGACUCCGUAAGGCUAGUGGCAAAAUGAUAGCAGAGUUAGAGGUGAGGCAGGGGUGAGGACAUCAUCCUGCUAUUUCGACAGUCCCUGAAGGACAAUACAGAAGAGGCACACGGGUAUUUGCUCUUAUUCCUUCCCUUUCUCUAAUGUAGCCAUACAUUAAAAAUAGGUAUUUUGUAAUAAGAUUAGCUAAUGUAGUAAGAUCAUUGCUUUACUAGGACUCGAGAACACAGCUCUUGCCCUACUUCUUCAAUGAGGACCCGAGUGGCCUUUAUGUCUGUGACGAGAUUUCACCGCUCCCCACUCCUUUACUGCACAUCAGCGGAAAUCCAUUUUACCAUGAGUGAAAUCGUGCUGGUCUUUGCUGGGACUUGAGGCUCUGCUAGGGCUGUAUUUUU